UCCCUGAUGGCUCAGCUGGUAAAGAAUCUGCUUGCAAUGCAGGAGACCUGGGUUCAAUCCCUGGGUUGGGAA
rnacentral:tRNA from 1 species